rnacentral:rRNA from 1 species
GGGUAUAAGUACACGAUAAGGCAGGUGAGAAUCCUGCCCGCCGGAAGUCUAAGGAUUCCUGGGGAAGGCUCGUCCGCCCAGGGUAAGUCGGGACUUAAGGCAAGGCCGAAAGGCGUAGUCGAUGGGAAACAGGUAGAUAUUCCUGUACCACCGCUAUAUGAUGACGAAGCAGUGACGCAGAAAGGUAGAGCGAGCGGCCAGUUGGUGAGCCGUUCAAGUGAGUAGGGUGUUGCGUAGGCAAAUCCGCGCAACGUGAGCCUGAGACACGAUGACGAGUGAAAAAUAGUAACGAAGUCCUUGAUCCUCCGCUGCCAAGAAAAGCUGCUAAGGAAUAUAGAGGUGCCCGUACCGCAAACCGACACAGGUAGACAGGUAGAGAAUACUAAGGCGCGCGAGAUAACUCUUGUUAAGGAACUCUGCAAAAUGAACCCGUAACUUCGGGAGAAGGGUUGCUCUCUAGCGUGAGUAUGAGCAAUACAGAGCGCAGGAGAGUCGCAGUGGAAAGGUCCAGGCGACUGUUUAGCAAAAACACAGGUCAUUGCAAAAUCGCAAGAUGAAGUAUAAUGGCUGACGCCUGCCCGGUGCUGGAAGGUUAAGGGGAAGAGUGCAAGCUUUGAACCGAAGCCCCAGUAAACGGCGGCCGUAACUAUAACGGUCCUAAGGUAGCGAAAUUCCUUGUCGGGUAAGUUCCGACCCGCACGAAAGGCGAAACGAUCUGGACGCUGUCUCAACAAGGGACUCGGUGAAAUUGAAAUUCCGGUAAAGAUGCCGGAUACCUGCGAUAGGACAGAAAGACCCCAUGGAGCUUUACUGUAGCCUGAUAUUGGGUUUCGGAUAUUCAUGUACAGGAUAGGUGGGAGACUAAGAAGCAUGGACGCCAGUUUGUGCGGAGUCACUGGUGGGAUACCACCCUUGAAUGUUUGGAGUUCUAACAAGGAGUCUUGAAGCAGAUUAUUGGACAGUGUCAGGUGGGCAGUUUGACUGGGGCGGUCGCCUCCCAAAAGGUAACGGAGGCGCUCAAAGGUUCCCUCAGAACGGAUGGAAAUCGUUCGCAGAGUGCAAAGGCAGAAGGGAGCUUGACUGCGAGAGCCACAACUCGAGCAGAUAGGAAACUAGGACUUAGUGAUCCGGCGGUCGCGAGUGGAAGUGCCGUCGCUCAACGGAUAAAAGCUACCCUGGGGAUAACAGGCUUAUCUCCCCCAAGAGUUCACAUCGACGGGGAGGUUUGGCACCUCGAUGUCGGCUCAUCGCAUCCUGGGGCUGAAGUAGGUCCCAAGGGUUGGGCUGUUCGCCCAUUAAAGCGGUACGCGAGCUGGGUUCAGAACGUCGUGAGACAGUUCGGUCCCUAUCCAUCGCGGGCGUAGGAAAUUUGAAGGGAGCUGACCCUAGUACGAGAGGACCGGGUUGGACAGACCGCUGGUGAACCAGUUGUUCUGCCAAGAGCAUAGCUGGGUAGCUAAGUCUGGAAAAGAUAAACGCUGAAAGCAUCUAAGCGUGAAGCGAACCUUAAGAUGAGAUUUCCCACAACGAAAGUUGAUAAGCACCAGAGAGAAUAACUGGUAGAUAGGUCAGGAGUGUAAGUGUGGUGACACAUUGAGCGGACUGAUACUAAUAAGUCUAAGACUUAGCC